UGAUAUUUGUGUGAAAUGUGUGAAAUUGUGAGUUUCCAUAAGCAUGAAAUAGGUUCGGCUAAGCUUGGUUAAUAAGGAAAUUUGAUAAAAAUAUAUUUUCGGGCCUAGGGGUAAAAUGGUCAUUUUGUGAGAGUCUAGGGGCAAAAUGAUCAUUUUAUCCAAAAUAUAAAUUUUCAAGUGUCUAGAUUGAUAUGCUGAUUAAAUGAAUGAAUUUUCCAUUUUAGAUCAAGAAUUACAAAAUCCAGG
rnacentral:lncRNA from 1 species